GAGGUCACGGGGCGAGGUCGGGUUCCGGAAGACGCCGGCAUUAUUCCUCCCAAAGAGUUUAAGACUCGUCAUAAGGAAAGACGGUUUAUUACUUAAGGGAGAGCGAAAAGAGGUAGAGGGCUGGUUGUCGCUGCGAGCGGGUCGGCCUAAGCGACAGUACGAAGCGGCUACACCCGCGGGGUGAGGUGGGCCUGUAUUCCAUGAUGGCGGUGGUCGUGGCUAGACAGACUUCCGCCAUCCUGACUCCCGCCCUGGCAGCCUUGGAGCGGCAGCGCCCCUUGUGUGGAGCAGGGGAAUAACAACAACAAAACGGCCUUAAUUAAAGCUAGGGUGGCGCCGGCCUGUGGUCCCAGUUACUCAGGAGGCUGAGGAUCGCUUCGUCCAAGUAGUUCGAGGCCAGCCUAGGCAACAUAGUCGGGGAAAACACACCGUAAUCACUUACUUUGGCAUAUUAUAUAAUGGGCAAAAUAAGAAUAAAUUAUUCAAUAUGUAUUUUCAGACCGGUCUGGGCUAAACAGUUUAUAUGCAUUGCUUCAUUUACUCCUCAAGACAUUAUCAAAUAAUUUUGAUUUCCCUCUUACAGAUAAAGGAUGUUAACUGAGAGCACACCUUUGCAGAAGGGUUUGGAAUUCUAGCUUCAAAGCCCUCGUGUUUAAUAGCUACUUCCACAUAGCCCUCUAAUAACAAUAUACAUGUAUAUAUUUCGACCGAAUCUUGUUCUGUAGCCAAGGCUGGAGUGCAGUGGCGCAAUCUCGGCUGACCGCAACCUCUGCCUCCCAGGUUCAAGCUAUUCUGCCUCAGCCUCCCAAGUAGCUGGGACUACAGGCGCGUGCCACCACGCCCGACAAAUUUUUUGUGUGUGUGUAUUAGUAGAGACGGGGUUUUACCGUGUUGACUAGGGUGGUCUGGAUUUUCUGACCUCGUGAUCCACCUGCCUCGGCCUCCCAAAGUGCUGGGAUUACAGGCGUGAGCCACCGUGCCCAGCCUCUAAUAACAAUAUUGAAGGACCUUGAAGGCUUGGGAGAAUAUGUCGGAGCUGUGGGGAAGGGCCAAGAAGUGUACCUCACAGAGCUAGGCAAGCG
rnacentral:lncRNA from 10 species